rnacentral:rRNA from 1 species
AGCCACCGCUAUUGGACUUCGCUUAAACCAUGCGAGUCGAGAGGGUUCGGCCCUCGGCAGACCGCUCAGUAACACGCGGACAACCUGCCCUUGGGUGGAGGAUAAGCUCGGGAAACUGAGUAUAAUACUCCAUAGACCAUCUAUGCUGGAAUGCUUGAUGGUCAAAAGCUACGGCGCCCAAGGAUGGGUCUGCGGCCUAUCAGGUCGUAGUUGGUGUAACGGACCAACUAGCCUUCGACGGGUACGGGCCUUGAGAGAGGUAGCCCGGAGAUGGACUCUGAGACAUGAGUCCAGGCCCUACGGGGCGCAGCAGGUGCGAAAACUUCGCAAUGUGGGAAACCACGACGAGGGGAGUCCAAGUGCUUGCACAACGUGUAGGCUGUUUCCGUGCCUAAAAAGCACGGAGAGUAAGGGCUGGGUAAGACGGGUGCCAGCCGCCGCGGUAAUACCCGCAGCCCGAGUGGUGGUCGCUAUUAUUGGGCCUAAAACGUCCGUAGCCUGCCCGGUAAAUUCUUGGGGAAAUCGGUCAGCUCAACUGACCGAAGUCCGAGGAGACUGCCGGGCUUGGGACUGGGUGAGGUCAGAGGUACUUCAGGGGUUGGGGUAAAAUCCUGUAAUCCUUGAAGGACCACCAGUGGCGAAGGCGUCUGACUAGAACGGAUCCGACGGUAAGGGACGAAGCCCUGGGGCACAAACGGGAUUAGAUACCCCGGUAGUCCAGGGUGUAAACGCUGUGGGCUUGGUGUUGGGAGUCCUACGAGGGCGCCCAGUGCCGGAGAGAAGUUGUUAAGCCUACUGCCUGGGGAGUACGCUCGCAAGAGUGAAACUUAAAGGAAUUGGCGGGGGAGCACCGCAACGGGUGGAGCGUGCGGUUU